rnacentral:lncRNA from 1 species
CUCUUACAUCGUUUUCUCAUAUUAUCCACUCUAAGGUAUUUGCUUUGGGCCAAAAUCGAAAUAAAAACCUACAAUUUAUAAAGGAUUUUACAUUUCCAUAUUUCCUUUAAAAAAGGCUGAUUACACCUUAUUCGAUCAUGGAACAAUAUAUUAUGCUGACCUUACUGAAAAAACACCAUCAGGUUCCAAAUCCCAAAUUGCAACAUCCUCUUUUGAGCAUGAGAUAAAUAACUCCCCCAAAAUAUUUUGCAACUCCAUAUAUUGAUCGAUGGCCACUGCCUACUUCAUGCACAAUAGCCAUUUGUUG